UACGUAGGGUGCGAGCGUUGCCCGGAUUUACUGGGCGUAAAGAGCGCGCAGGCGGUCGUUCAAGUCGCGUGUGAAAGCCCCCGGCUCAACUGGGGAGGGUCACGCGAUACUGAUCGACUCGAAGGCAGGAGAGGGAAGUGGAAUUCCCGGUGUAGUGGUGAAAUGCGUAGAUAUCGGGAGGAACACCAGUGGCGAAGGCGACUUCCUGGCCUGUUCUUGACGCUGAGGCGCGAAAGCUAGGGGAGCAAACGGG
rnacentral:rRNA from 1 species